AAUAGAUACCCCGGUAGUCCACGCCCUAAACGAUGUCGACUGGGUGUUGGGGAAGCGAUUCCCUAGUACCGUAGCUAACGCGUGAAGUCGACCGCCUGGGGAGUACGGCCGCAAGGUUAAAACUCAAAGGAAUUGACGGGGCCCGCACAAGCAGCGGAGCGUGUGGUUUAAUUCGAUGCAACGCGCAGAACCUUACCUCGGCUUGACAUGCAUGUGGUACCAAUCCGAAAGGUGAGGGACCCGCGAGGGAGCAUGCACAGAUGCUGCAUGGCUGUCGUCAGCUCGUGCCGUGAGGUGUUGGGUUAAGUCCCGCAACGAGCGCAACCCUUGUCCUUAGUUGCCUUCUCUAAGGAGACCGCCGGUCUAAACCGGAGGAAGGUGGGGAUGACGUCAAGUCAGCACGGCUCUUACGUCGAGGGCUACACACACGCUACAAUGGCCGGUACAACGGGCUGCCAAGGGGCGACCUGGAGCUAAGUCCCACCAAAGCCGGUCUCAGUUCGGAUUGCAGGCUGCAACUCGAGUGCAUGAAGGCGGAA
rnacentral:rRNA from 1 species